rnacentral:rRNA from 1 species
GAGAGAGUUCAGAGUACGUGAAACCGUUCAGGGGUAAACCUGAGAAGCCCGAAAGGUCGAAUGGGGAAAUUCAUUCGCGUUUCGACCGUCGGCGUAGAUAGGUCGAGCGACGGACGGCGUACGCGUCGUCCGCGCCUUCCGUUCUUCGAACCGGCGUCGAACGCGUGCACUUUUCCCCUAGUAGGACGUCGCGAUCCGUUGGGUGUCGGUCUACGGCUCGCGGUGGAGCCCGUGCGGUCGCUUCGCGGCGUAUCGCACGGACCCGCGGUGUCCCGGCCGACUCGCUCGACGGUAUACAGAUGGCGCGGGGCCGCUAAACUUAGCGUUCGGCCCGCGGCAAGCGCGUUCGUCGUUUGACGGCGAUCGGACCUGGUGCCGGUCCUGUCCGCGAACGACUGUUGGCUGCGGUGUUCUCGAACAGACCUCGAAACGAAACGCCGAUCUGCGACGCUAUAGCUUUGGGUACUUUCAGGACCCGUCUUGAAACACGGACCAAGGAGUCUAGCAUGUGCGCGAGUCAUUGGGACAUAACUAAACCUAAAGGCGUAAUGAAAGUGAAGGUCCGCCUUGCGCGGAUCUAGGGAGGAUGAGCGGNUUUUUGAUGCCCUUAAAAGCGGCCGCUCCGCACUCCCGGGGCGUCUCGUUCUCAUCGCGAGAAGAGGCGCACCAAGAGCGUACACGCUGGGACCG